UACGGAGGGAGCGAGCGUUGUUCGGAAUUACUGGGCGUAAAGGGUGCGCAGGCGGCCUGAUAAGUCAGAAGUGAAAGCCCUGGGCUCAACCCAGGAAUUGCUUUUGAAACUGUCAGGCUAGAGUAUUGGAGAGGUUAGCGGAAUUCCCAGUGUAGAGGUGAAAUUCGUAGAUAUUGGGAGGAACACCAGUGGCGUAAGCGGCUAACUAGACAAUUACUGACGCUCAGGCACGAAAGCGUGGGGAUCAAACAGG
rnacentral:rRNA from 1 species